rnacentral:misc_RNA from 1 species
UACGGAGGAUCUAAGCGUUAUCCGGCACCAUUGGGUUUAAAGGGUCCGUAGGCGGGGGAAUAAGUCAGUGGUGAAAGUCUGCAGCUCAACUGUAGAACUGCCAUUGAUACUGGUAUCCUUGAGUAAUUAUGAAGUGGUUAGAAUAUGUUGUGUAGCGGUGAAAUGCAUAGAUAUUACAUAGAAUACCGAUUGCGAAGGCAGAUCACUAAUAAUUCACUGACGCUGAGGGACGAAAGCGUAGGUAGCGAACAGG